CGCGGGGCCUGGUUAUCGCCCGUCCAGCGCAGCCCGGAGUCGCCGAGACCUGAAUUCCUACCCAGGUCCCCGGCCUGGCCCCAGCAGGCUCGACCCCGGCCCCGGGCCCGCGAGGACACCGGAGGUCACCCCCCGGGGGUGGGAGCGGAGCCGCGGGUCAGCUCUGCGAGCGCCCGCGCUGGCCUGUCCGGCCCCGCCCCUGCCCCGGGCCAUGGCCCAGCCCUUGUCCCGGCCCCUUUUCCUAUCCCGAUUCGGGCCUUCGCCCCCGACCCCGCCCUCGUCCCGCUUCCCACAUAAGUUCCGGCUCCGGCCUGGGUCCCAGCGAAUGCCCAGAUCCGGGUCCCAGCUCAGGCCCCCACUCCAGUCCCUGGCCUGGUCCCCAUCCCAGCGCCUGCCCCUGUUUCACCUCCUUUCCCAAAUUCCAGCCCAGCCCUUGUCCCAGACCCAUUCUCAAAAUUUGCUUAAGCCCGGGGCCCAACCCCUGCCCUUCCUCCAGUCCCCAUCACAGUGCCUCCUUCCAUCACAUCCCCUACCCUUGCAUAAGUCCCAAUGCCCAGCCCAGCCCAACUCUUUAUCCCAGUCUUUGCCCUCAUCUCUGUGUUUACCCAGGUCUCUCCCACUACCCAGCCCUCUCUUUCAUACCCUGCCCCUCUCCCAGCCUCGACUCAGGUCUGGGCUCCAGCUGCCAUCAGCCUUACUGCUGCUGUUGCUGUUGUCUGUCCUUGGCCCAGGGGCUGGAGGCCUCUUCCUGACUGACUACUCCACCUGCUCACCCCGCAAGCUGAGUCCCUUCCGCUCCUUUGCCAGCACCGAGCUCUUCCACUUCCAUGUUCCCGAAGACACAUUCCUGGCCGUGUGGAACCUCAUCAUCUUCAAAGAGCAGGGGGGAACCUUUGGGGACCACUGCCCAGACCAAAGUGUGACUGUGUAUUUCCGUUCUGGGGCACCCCCCGUCAUCAAUCCCCUGCACACACACUUCCCAGGGGACACGGCUGUGCCUGGGGUUUUCUCACUGACUCUCAGCUGGACACUGCCCAACCGCACCUCUGGCAUCUUUAACGUCAGCAGCCCCUUACCUGGGGACUGGUUCUUGGCUGCCCACCUGCCCCGGACCCACGGCCACAUCUCUGUCAAGGGUCUCCAGGAUGAGUGUCAGUACCUCCUUCAGCCGCAGCUGAUUGUCCGGCGUUUGUUGGAUGUGGCUGUGCUGGUGCCUGGGCGACCCUCCGAGCAGACCCUCUCCCUCCACAAUCGCUCAGCCCUGUACAAGGUCUUUGUGCCCAGCUUCACUUACAGGGUUUCAGCGCAGCUCGUGUGCGUGGGGGGCCGCGGGGCAUCCGCCUGCCCCCUGACGCUGCGCCUACGUCCCAAGGCCCCACCCCUGCACAACUCAAGCUCUGUGGCCUGUGGAGGUGCCUCGGUAUGCCAGCUGGAGCUGGCACUGCCCCCCUGGGGGCACUGGGUCUACGUGCGUGUGGAGACACCAUCCCGGGGCCCUGGCAGGACCGUCUGUUUCCAGCUGUGCGUGCGAUUGCAAGAGUGCCCACAGCCCAGCCUGUCCCGUGCCCUGGUCCCUGGAGCUUCCAUGAACAUGCCCCAGUCACUGGGCAACCAGCCACUGCCCCCAGAGCCAUCAUCCCUCGGGGCCCCUGCCGAGGGGCCCGGGGCCACAUCCCCACCUGAGCACUGCUGGCCAGUGCGCCCGACGCUGCGCAAUGAGCUGGACACCUUCUCCGUCCACUUCUACGUCUUCUUUGGCCCCAGCGUGGCCCUCCCCCCAGAACGCCCAGCCGUGUUUGCCCUGAGGCUGCUGCCAGUGCUGGACAGCGGAGGCGUCCUCAGCCUGGAGCUCCAGCUCAACAAUUUAAACAAUUCUUCCCAAAGAAAGGAUUCAGAAGUGACCUUGCCUUCUCAUCAGUCUUUGAAAGAUCUCUGCUGUGGAAGAUCUGGUGUUUCCCAGUUUUUCUGUUUUAAGAACGAGGAGAGCUCCCUGCGCCAGGAAAAUGUGACAGUGUUCGGAUGCCUGACUCACGAGGUGCCCUUGAGCCUGGGGGAUGCAGCAAUGACUUGUUCCAAAGAGUCCCUGGCCGGCUUCCUCCUCACGGUCAGUGCCACCUCACGGGUGGCCAGGCUGCGAAUCCCGUUCCCGCAGACGGGGACCUGGUUCCUGACCCUGCGCUCCCUGUGCGGGGUGGGGCCUCGGUUCGUGCGGUGCCGGAACGCGACGGCCGAGGUGCGGCUGCGCACUUUCCUGUCCCCGUGUGUGGACGAUUGCGGGCCCUACGGCCAGUGCAAGCUGCUGCGCACGCACAACUACCUGUACGCGGCCUGCGAGUGCAAGGCUGGAUGGCGGGGCUGGGGCUGCACCGACAGUGCGGAUGCGCUCACCUACGGAUUCCAGCUUCUGUCCACGUUACUGCUCUGCUUGAGCAACCUCAUGUUUUUGCCCCCCGUGGUCCUGGCCAUUCGGAGCCGAUAUGUGUUGGAAGCGGCUGUCUACACCUUCACCAUGUUCUUCUCCACGUUCUACCAUGCCUGUGACCAGCCAGGCAUUGUGGUUUUCUGCAUCAUGGACUACGAUGUGCUGCAGUUCUGUGACUUCCUGGGCUCUUUAAUGUCCGUGUGGGUCACUGUCAUUGCCAUGGCUCGCUUACAGCCUGUGGUCAAGCAGGCUCAGUGACACUGGUGACCUGCAGGAGGAACUGGCACUCUCUGGCGUGGCGCUGCACUUGGCACGGGCCUCCGAGCAGCUGCAGGUGGCGUGGCAGGAGCUGGAACAGCUGCGCCGACAGCAAGCAAUGUGCCAGAUGGUAGCUGCUUUAUCAUCCUGAGUCCCACAGGGAUGAAGGCGACGGUGCAGAGCAGAUCCCCCAGCCGACCUCUGACGGACCUGCAGCGUUUUCAGGGGGCUCUGUUCCAGGUCAUCAUCCUCAGAGACCCUGGCUCCACCAUCUGGGACAUCACCAGUUCUUACGGCUGGGGAAGAACACACCAGAGCAUCUCACACCAGAAGUUAAGUGCUCCGACCCAGAAGUGACUUGUAUCCCAAAUGCCCACAACGCACUGGCCUGUGUAGUCCUACCACAUGCUCAGAAGGAAGAGGACCAGAAACGUUGCAGAGCCCUUGGGAAGGUGAGGAGCAUAACAAGAAGAAGCUCCUGUUACAAUUUCCCGGAAAUGCCUGGAUCUGGGAUUCCUGCUUCACAUUCCUCGCUGUGUUAGCAAAGCAGAAAUAAUGGUGCUGACUUCUCUGGGUUGGAGAACAGGCCUCAAAGUCCUCAUCCAGAGGACAGAAACAGGGCGAAGGUCCUUGAAAGACUCUUCCUUUUUUCUCUCCAUCAUCCUCUCAUGUCCUCCUUUUCCUUUCCUGUGGAUUCUCAGAGGGUAACAAGCUCCUAGAGGACAAGGACUGUGUCUUUCUUCUCCCUAGCCUCAGCACCAAACACAGGGCCUGGUUAAAUAGAUGUUAGUUAGGGACUUCCCUGGUGGUCCAGUGGUUAAGAAUCCAUCUUGCAAUGCAGGGGAUGCUGGUUUGAUCCCUGGUUGGGGAACUAUGAUCCCACAUGCCACGGGGCAACUAAGGCCCUGAGCCACAACUAGAGAGAAGCCUACAUGCCGCAACGAAAGAUCCCUCUUGCCGAAACUAAGACCCGUCACAGCCAAUAACUAAAUAAGUAUCUUUGAAAAAAGAUGUUAAAUAGAUGAAUAUAAUUCUACAUGUCACAAUUACAGUAGUUCCCCACUGCCCCAAUCUGUGGUGUUGCUUUCUGCAGUUUCAGUUACCUGUGGUCAACCGAGGUCCAAAAAUAUUAAAUGGCAAGUUCCAGAAAUAAACAAUUCAUAUUUUUUUUACCGCGGGCCUCUCACUGCUGUGGCUUCUCGCGUUGCGGAGCACAGGCUCUGGACGCGCAGGCUCAGCGGCCAUGGCUCAUGGGCCUAGGCGCUCCGUGGCAUGUGGGAUCUUCCCAGACCGGGGCACGAACCUGCGUCCCCUGCAUCGGCAGGCGGACUCUCAACCACUGCACCACCAGGGAAGCCCCAAUUCAUAUGUUUUAAAUUGCAUGCUGUUCUGAGUUAAGAUGAUGAAAUCUUGCGCUCUCCAGCUCCAUCCUGCCCAGGACCAUUAGGCACUUAGUGGCUGUCUAGGCUAUCAGAUUGAACGUCAGGGGACGGCAGUGCUUGUGAUUAAGUAACCCUUAUUUUACUUAAUAAUGGCCCCAAAGUGCAAGAGUAGUGAUGCUGGCAAUUCAGAUGUACCAAAGAGAAGCCAUAAAGUGCUUCCUUUAAGUGAAAAGGUGAAAGUUCUUAAUAAAGAAAGAAAAAAAUCGUAUGCUGAUGUUGCUGAGAUCUAUGACAUGGAUGAAUUUUCUAUCUGUGAAAUUGUGAAGAAAGAAAAAGAAAUCACCUGGAGCAGAUGAUCCUCCCUCUGACGUAUUGUCAGGUCAGUGGUAGCCUUACGCUACAUCACAGUACCUGCGUCAUUCAUCUUACUUCAUCUCAUCACGUAGGCAUUGUGUCAUCUCCCAUCAUCACAAGAAGAUGGGUGAGUACAGAACAAUAAGACAUUUGGAGAGAGAGGGAGCACAUUCACAUAACUUUUAUUACAGUAAAUUGUUAUAGUUGUUCUAUUUUAUUAUUAGCUAUUGUUAAUCCCUUACUGUGCCUAAUUUAUGGAUUAAACUUUAUAAUAGG